rnacentral:lncRNA from 1 species
GAAACUGCUGCUGGGUCUGGAGAGGUGAAGACCCGUGGCCAGCUUCUGUUGUUGCCAUCGGCCAUUGCUUUUUGUUCGCUUGCUUUUGGUUUUGCAAGAAGAGCGGCCUCUGUCUCUGAUCUGCUUCAAAUCAUCAUUCCAUCAGUGACAGAAGUGGCUGUUCCAUCAGUGGUCGCAGCCAGUUCAGCUCCUGCAUCCAUCCCCAAGUGUUCUGAGUGGAAUUUGAGGCCUCCCCAACCACCUACCAAAAAAGGAGGGUGAAAUGAAAGGAAGAAGAAAAACUCAGCAUUCUUUCCUCUGACAAAGAGUAAAACGACAAGGAAUAUCGGCCUGAAUUCUCUUCCCAAGAAGAAAGAAAGCACACCAACGCAGGCAUUUGUCUUCUGUCCAUGGUGCUGAAGUUUAUUCACUUUCAAACCACUUUCAGUAACAGGUCUGCGUUGGACACGGCAUUGUACAUGGGAUUAGCUCUGGUCUGACCUAGGAGCUGGAAUGCCAGUAAAAGGAGGAAGCUCACGGUGGUGGUGGAGAAGGAGCUCAUGCUGGCGUCGUCAAGGAGCAAUCCACUGCUUGCUGCUCUGUCUCUCCCCUCUGGUUCCUCUCUGGUUCCCCUCUCUUGGCCUACGUCUGUCCCUGUCUCCCAGCUGCCCAGUGCCGCCUCUUUUUAUAGCCCCCCAGCUCUCCAAGCACGCAGGAGAGACAGAACCCUCCCCAUUCUGUCACUUGCAGUGAUAAAGCUGCCAAGUGAGAAGCCAGCAGGAGAUGCCCUUUUAAAGUUAUCAUCCCGCAGGGCUUGUCACAGCCCCUCUCUGCCUUGGGCAGCCCCAACAGCCCCCCAGACCCUCAGCUGCAAGAGCCGCAUUCUUACUGAUUUGACUCAAGAGGCUCCCACUUCAAAGGUGUGAGAAGAGUAAAAAAGAGUCCUUGGUUAUCUCA